AUGUUUGCAAACGUUCCUUCUAUUACGGGCAGUAAACUCUGCCAUAAUCUAGUUGUUCCUGAAAAAAUCAAACACCCCAAUCAAGUUGCUCAGACGCAUACAGAAGGUGUGCUCACAGGGUCGGAUGGUGCUGGACUCGGGGGCAUCCAGGAGGAAGAGGCUCCCCACACCUUGCUUCUUCAUCCAUCGUUGUCGAGGACGGGGAUGAGGCAUCAGCAUGAGCGAACCCACUGCCGAGUCCAACAGAGGCAUGUGGAAGCGACCACCCCCGCGCUAGACCACGGGGAAGCAAGGCGCAGCUCGGCGUAG
rnacentral:rRNA from 1 species